GACGAAAGUCUGACCGAGCAACGCCGCGUGAGUGAAGAAGGUUUUCGGAUCGUAAAGCUCUGUUGUAAGUCAAGAACGUGUGUGAGAGUGGAAAGUUCACACAGUGACGGUAGCUUACCAGAAAGGGACGGCUAACUACGUGCCAGCAGCCGCGGUAAUACGUAGGUCCCGAGCGUUGUCCGGAUUUAUUGGGCGUAAAGGGAGCGCAGGCGGUCAGGAAAGUCUGGAGUAAAAGGCUAUGGCUCAACCAUAGUGUGCUCUGGAAACUGUCUGACUUGAGUGCAGAAGGGGAGAGUGGAAUUCCAUGUGUAGCGGUGAAAUGCGUAGAUAUAUGGAGGAACACCAGUGGCGAAAGCGGCUCUCUGGUCUGUCACUGACGCUGAGGCUCGAAAGCGUGGGUAGCGAACAGGAUUAGAUACCCUGGUAGUCCACGCCGUAAACGAUGAGUGCUAGGUGUUAGGCCCUUUCCGGGGCUUAGUGCCGGAGCUAACGCAAUAAGCACUCCGCCUGGGGAGUACGACCGCAAGGUUGAAACUCAAAGGAAUUGACGGGGGCCCGCACAAGCGGUGGAGCAUGUGGUUUAAUUCGAAGCA
rnacentral:rRNA from 1 species